UGACCGCUGCUGCUCGGGCGGGCUGACGUACAAACGCCGCAGAAACCUGCAGAGUGAGCGGCAGCUGUCCGCAUGAAUACACUGACAUCAUGGUGAAAACAGCACUGAAGUUGUUGUUCUGGAUUUCCUCCCAAUUAUGUUUUCUCCAGAUGUUGACAUGACUUUUUCCCGUCUUGCUUUAUUUUGAAAAACCCAACAUCCCUCGUGCAUUUUGUUCGCAUCUACGGAAGAGGAUUAGGGCCAUUGGGCGGAAAAAAAGAAUUCAGUCUCGGAAUUCUGACUAUAAUCUCAUAAUUUUUCCUCACAAUUCAGAGAAAAAAGUAAGAAUUUCGACUUUAAUCUCAGAAAUUUUCUAAGAAUUCUGAGAUUAAAGUCAGAAUUCUUUUUUUUUCAGUCUUCAGCCUCAAUCCUCUUCCAUACACAUGCUUUCCUGUUACCUUGUGAAUUUAUUGUUGAAUUUUGUUGUUUUACCUCGUUAAUGUUCCACUCCAUGAUGAAUGAUGAAGCUUUAUUUUUGACAUGGCAAAUACAGACAAAAAUGUACAUAAAAACAUCAGUAAUGAGGAAUAAGAACAAGAAAUUGAUUUAUUAAUUCGCAUGUUUCAAAUAAUAACAUAUUUUUGCAUUAUUAUUAUUGUAAACAAAUUUGUUGAAAUUAGUCUUAUUGUGUUAAGUCAUCAACACAUCAAUUUUUAAUAUAUGAGCUGUUAUUUCUAAUUAGCAUCAGUUAUUGUUAUAGUAAAAGAGACUCCACAUAUAACAUAUUCAUAAAGAAUUAUUUAUUAGCAUCACUAAUCACUUUAUGUUCUGUCUAAUUUCUUUAUGUUUAUCUUCGUCAAGCUUCUGGGGUUGAUAAAAAUAUUCAAAUCAAGCUUUGAAUAAAACAUUUUUCUUUGCAAAAUGUGUGUUGAGUAACUUCCUUCACAACAUUUCUGUUUUGAAAUUGACUUUAUGGAUUCUAAGUAACUUUAUAUUAUACUCUAUGCAGAUGACUUUAUUAUGCGUUCAAACUUUAAAAUACAGGAACACAAGAGAGGAAAAGCAUUUUUAGAAGGACAUUUAUUGCUACAUUUUCAUAUCAACACUUGCCUGGAACUCAAACUGUACACAUACUGCACAUGUUAUAAGUGUUUUAAAUUAUUUUGGUGUUUCUUUAUGUUCAACAAUGCAGUGAGUGAACAUAGUUUGUUUUUAACACUAUUGCUCAGAGCAUUAAAUUUAGGUACAGCUAAUAAACUGCACAAAAAACAAAUAAUAAUUAAAAGCACAUCAAGACAUGAUAAAGUUCACAAUAUUUGUAUAAAAGAUAACUUAUAACUUAAAAAUGUGUGUUUUAAGUUCAAAACUUAAACAUGCAUAAGGUUUGUUUGACUACAUCUGAAGAGCAAUAAUUACAAGAAGGGGAAUUAUGUCCACUGGAGAUACAGAAAGUAAAAUCCUUUAAAGCAUUAAAGAAAUAUAAAACACGAUUACAGACCAGGUUUAAUGUCCAUGUGAGAUUAAAAAGAACAUUCCUGGAGAUCUGUUCAUUCACAGAAUGUUCAAACCCCUGCAGUAUUUACACACACAUACUCAUUCACACAGAGCUCACAG